rnacentral:rRNA from 1 species
GAUGAACGCUGGCGGCGUGGGUAAGGCAUGCAAGUCAAACGGCCCGCAAGGGCAGUGGCGAACGAGGUAGUAAUAAGUAGGUACGAACCUAGAAGUCAGGGAUAACUCAUCGAAAGAUGAGCUAAUACUUGAUAGUCCCUUCGGGGUAAAGAUUUAUCGCUUCUAGAUCGGCCUGCUCGAUAUCAGCUAGUUGGUAGGGUAAAGGCCUACCAAGGCUAUGACGUCUAGGGGGACCUGAGAGGGUGACCCCCACCGAUGGGUACUGAGAUACGGACCAUACACCUACGGGUGGCUGCAGCCGAGAAUAUUCGACAAUGGACGAAAGUCUGAUCGAGCGACGCCGCGUGAAGGGAUGUAGUUCUUCGGAAUGUAAACUUCUUUUGUGAGGGAGAAAGUUAUUGAUGUUACCUCAAGAAGAAGCUCCGGGCUAACUUCGUGCCAGCAGCCG